AUUGAACGCUGGCGGCAGGCCUAACACAUGCAAGUCGAGCGGUAGAGAGAAGCUUGCUUCUCUUGAGAGCGGCGGACGGGUGAGUAAUGCCUAGGAAUCUGCCUGGUAGUGGGGGAUAACGUUCGGAAACGGACGCUAAUACCGCAUACGUCCUACGGGAGAAAGCAGGGGACCUUCGGGCCUUGCGCUAUCAGAUGAGCCUAGGUCGGAUUAGCUAGUUGGUGGGGUAAUGGCUCACCAAGGCGACGAUCCGUAACUGGUCUGAGAGGAUGAUCAGUCACACUGGAACUGGGACACGGUCCAGGCUCCUACGGGAGGCAGCAGUGGGGAAUAUUGGACAAUGGGCGAAAGCCUGAUCCAGCCAUGCCGCGUGUGUGAAGAAGGUCUUCGGAUUGUAAAGCACUUUAAGUUGGGAGGAAGGGUUGUAGAUUAAUACUCUGCAAUUUUGACGUUACCGACAGAAUAAGCACCGGCUAACUCUGUG
rnacentral:rRNA from 1 species